GGCGCUUAGAGCACUGGGAGAGGACGGCGUCCGGAAAGGGACAUUUCAAAACAGGAGGCGACGAGUUGAUGUCUGCUGCACUGAGGGACAGAAGUGCCCUGAGAUGCCUUCCUGCCCCUUGCUUCGUAAAGCAGCGAAGUGUGACUCUGUGGUGCAGCCGUAUCCAUCCUGCUGUGGUCUGCCAACCCAAGCUCUCGAGGCUCCCACUCCUCUGGAGCUGCUUCCUUUCCAGCUCAAGUGAAACCUGAAAUGUUUCUUCUUCCACCACCCAUGGCGACUGAGCUCCUAAGUGCAGGUCUACCUCAUCCCGUGUGGUGGUCUUCAUUGUGUCAUCGAAGAGGGUGGCCCCAAGACAGGGACCCAUGAAGUCCUAUAACCACAGCCCGGUGGAUACAGGACUGAAACUGUAUUCAACCCCACAGUCCAGUCUCCUAGCCUAGGCUGUUUCCUUGAGACAACAGGACACAGCAGGAAAGAUAAUUUUGGAAGUUUAUGUCCCUUGACUGGCAAACCUAAAAGGUGGUGCUUAGAGCCAUAAAAGAUUCACUGAUUGUUAGGAAGUCCUUCAGCCAUCUCCUCACUUAACCAAUACAGCAGUAGUUAGGAGCUUAGCCAAUCUGGUAGUAGUUGGGAAUACAGUGAAGAAUGCAUAGGUCUCUUGCCUUCGUGGGUCAUCAUUCAAAAUGAGGAAAGGUGAUAGCAUUAAUUUCUCGAACUGCAGAAAAUAAGGGCAGGGUCACAGAACAUAAAGACAGUUGUGUGGGGGGAGGGGAGUCUUGUAGUCACUGUAUCUAGAGUAAACAUAAAACGUAAUAGUUGUUUCUCGCUAUAUCUAGGUUUCAUGAUUAAUGUUGAAGGUACCUGGACCUUGAAGAAAUCAUGUAAAGAACAGGGAUUAUUUUCUAUGAUUUAUAGCUAUUUUUCUGAAGGGCUUAUUCAUCCAUUGCAUCUUUGGUCACAAGACUAUUCAGGCACACCCGGAGGUCUUCUAUUGUUACUGCAACAGUACACAAUGUGACUGAAGGUUGCAAGGGUGUGAUAGUUUUCUUCAGAUAACAUGUAGGAUAAAUCAAAGGGGCUUUUGACAUGAGGAACUUGUAUCCCAAACACAACCUUUGUGUUCAGCCACCAAUAAAUAUGCUGAACAGAA